AGAUUGAACGCUGGCGGCAUGCCUUACACAUGCAAGUCGAACGGUAGAGUAGCAAUACUUGAGAGUGGCGAACGGGUGAGUAAUAUAUCGGAACGUGCCCAGUCGUGGGGGAUAACGUAGAGAAAUUUACGCUAAUACCGCAUACGAUCUAAGGAUGAAAGCGGGGGACCGUAAGGCCUCGCGCGAUUGGAGCGGCUGAUAUCAGAUUAGGUUGUUGGUGAGGUAAAAGCUCACCAAGCCGACGAUCUGUAGCUGGUUUGAGAGAACGACCAGCCACACUGGGACUGAGACACGGCCCAGACCU
rnacentral:rRNA from 1 species